CCUACGGGAGGCAGCAGUAGGGAAUCUUCCACAAUGGGCGAAAGCCUGAUGGAGCAACGCCGCGUGGGUGAAGAAGGUCUUCGGAUCGUAAAACCCUGUUGUUAGAGAAGAAAGUGCGUGAGAGUAACUGUUCACGUUUCGACGGUAUCUAACCAGAAAGCCACGGCUAACUACGUGCCAGCAGCCGCGGUAAUACGUAGGUGGCAAGCGUUAUCCGGAUUUAUUGGGCGUAAAGGGAACGCAGGCGGUCUUUUAAGUCUGAUGUGAAAGCCUUCGGCCUAACCGGAGUAGUGCAUUGGAAACUGGGGGACGUGAGGGCAGAAGAGGAGAGUGGAACUCCAUGUGUAGCGGUGAAAUGCGUAGAUAUAUGGAAGAACACCAGUGGCGAAGGCGGCUCUCUGGUCUGUAACUGACGCUGAGGUUCGAAAGCGUGGGUAGCGAACAGGAUUAGAUACCCUUGUAGUC
rnacentral:rRNA from 1 species